rnacentral:misc_RNA from 1 species
GAUGAAGAACGCAGCAAAAUGCGAUACUUGGUGUGAAUUGCAGAAUCCCGUGAACCAUCGAGUUUUUGAACGCAAGUUGCGCCCGAAGCCUUUUGGCCGAGGGCACGUCUGCCUGGGCGUCACGCAUCGCGUCGCCCCCCACAAUUCUCCGUAAAGGGAACGUGUGUUUUGGGGGCGGAUAUUGGUCUCCCGUGCUCAUGGCGUGGUUGGCCGAAAUAGGAGUCCUUUCGAUGGACGCAUGAACUAGUGGUGGUCGUAAAAACCCUCGUCUUUUGUUUCGUGCUGUUAGUCGCAAGGGAAACUCUAAGAAAACCCCAACGUGUCGUCUUUUGACGGCGCUUCGACCGCGACCCCAGGUCAGGCGGGACUACCCGCUGAGUUUAAGCAUAUCAAUAAGCGGAGGA